AACGAACGCUGGCGGCGUGCCUAACACAUGCAAGUCGAACGGAAGUAAGAAGCUUGCUUUUUACUUUAGUGGCGCACGGGUGAGUAACGCGUGGAUAAUCUGCCUGAUGCUCUGGGAUAACAUCUCGAAAGGGGUGCUAAUACCGGAUAAGCCCACGAGAACUUCGGUUUUUGCGGGAAAAGGAGGGGACCUUCGGGCCUUCCGACAUCAGAUGAGUCCGCGUCCCAUUAGCUAGUUGGUGGUGUAAAGGACCACCAAGGCGACGAUGGGUAGCUGGUCUGAGAGGAUGAUCAGCCACACUGGAACUGAGACACGGUCCAGACUCCUACGGGAGGCAGCAGUGGGGAAUUUUGCGCAAUGGGGGCAACCCUGACGCAGCAACGCCGCGUGAGUGAUGAAGGCUUUCGGGUCGUAAAGCUCUGUCAGAAGGGAAGAAAUGUAGGUGGCUAAUAUCCAUUCUACUUGACGGUACCUUCAAAGGAAGCACCGGCUAACUCCGUGCCAGCCGCCGCGGUAAUAC
rnacentral:rRNA from 1 species